rnacentral:rRNA from 1 species
GACGAACGCUGGCGGCGUGCUUAACACAUGCAAGUCGAACGGAAAGACCCUGCUUUUGUGGGGUGCUCGAGUGGCGAACGGGUGAGUAACACGUGAGUAACCUGCCCUUGACUUUGGGAUAACUUCAGGAAACUGGGGCUAAUACCGGAUAGGAGCUCCUGCUGCAUGGUGGGGGUUGGAAAGUUUCGGCGGUUGGGGAUGGACUCGCGGCUUAUCAGCUUGUUGGUGGGGUAGUGGCUUACCAAGGCUUUGACGGGUAGCCGGCCUGAGAGGGUGACCGGCCACAUUGGGACUGAGAUACGGCCCAGACUCCUACGGGAGGCAGCAGUGGGGAAUAUUGCACAAUGGGCGGAAGCCUGAUGCAGCAACGCCGCGUGCGGGAUGACGGCCUUCGGGUUGUAAACCGCUUUCGCCUGUGACGAAGCGUGAGUGACGGUAAUGGAUAAAGAAGCACCGGCUAACUACGUG